AUUGAACGCUGGCGGCAGGCCUAACACAUGCAAGUCGAGCGGGGGAAGGUAGCUUGCUACCGGACCUAGCGGCGGACGGGUGAGUAAUGCUUAGGAAUCUGUCUAUUAGUGGGGGACAACAUCUCGAAAGGCAUGCUAAUACCGCAUACGUCCUACGGGAGAAAGCAGGGGAUCGUAGGACCUUGCGCUAAUAGAUGAGCCUAAGUCGGAUUAGCUAGUUGGCGGGGUAAAGGCCAACCAAGGCGAAGAUCGGUAGCGGGUGUGAGAGGAUGGUCAGCCACACUGGGACAGAGACAAGGCGCCAACUCCUACGGGAGGCAGCAGUGGGGAAUAUUGGACAAUGGGGAGAAACCUGAACCAGCCAUGCCGCGUGUGUUGAGAAGGCCUUUUGGUUGUAAAGCACUUUAAGCCAGGAGGAGGAUACUUUAGUUAAUACCUGGAGAUAGUGGACGUUACUCGCAGAAUAAGCACCGGCUAACUUCGUGCCAGCCGCCGCAGUAA
rnacentral:rRNA from 1 species